UAUAUCACAUCUGUGAUGCGUACCUUAGCCAAGAUACAAAAUAUACGUGACAUGCAAUACUUUUUCGUAUCCCAUGUUUUUGGAGAUCACCUAUGAAUCAUGGACAUAGGAAUACGUUACAUGUGGUGUUACCGAUUCAAUAUAGUACCGGCUUGAAUUAAAAUUAAAGUUUUCUAUGAAAUUACUAAUAAAAUAUAGUAUAAAUGUAGAUAGAAUAAGGAACAGAUAUUCUAUAAUCGCAAAUGAAGUAUAGAAUUUUAUACUUCUAUAUACUUCUGCUUCAGAAAAUUGCAACGCAAUCUAUGAAUAAUUGAAACAAACAAAUUACGCCCAAUGAAAAGAGCAAAAGGAUUAACAAAAAUCUGCUUCUGAGGUAUUAAAAUACCUCUGCUAGUAUUAAAAUAUAGUAGUAUCAAUAUAUAAUUUAAUAUAUAACAUAAAAUAAUAAUUAAUAUAAUAGUAUUAAUAUAUAUUUAGUACUAGUCUGAGUGGCAUUCAAAUUACCCGAGAAUACUUAAAAUUACGUAGAGUCAUUGAAUAUAUUAAAAGCUUAGUUUGACACUAUAACUGUUUAGUUCUUAAGGGCUAUGUGAUUUUAAUCACUUCUUCUUUCAUCUUAGUAUCCAAAGCAAAAUUUCAAUUUCUGAUUAAAUCCAACUUCAAAUUGUUUUACUUUUACAACAAUAUUUUGAUAAUUUGCUCUUUUCGUGUAGAAUGUGUUUUUUUCCUGUCAUCAACUUUUUAUGUACUAAUUCAUUAAACAAGUUUGUUACAGAGUUCUUGGAUUGUAAGAAAUAUCGUCAAAAUUCAUACAUGUACGUCAGAGGCUUAAUUAAAUAAAAUGAAUAAAUGGAAGGAUGUAAAUACGUAUUACGAAAUAUUUAUCUACAUUUUGAGCCUCGUUUACUGGGAUUAUUUAUAUCAAGAAUUUUAUUAUAUUUUUUAUAUUUUGAUUUUGUUUCAGAAAUCAUCAUGAUGUUGGGAUUGAAAGCGGACGUCAGUUCCGCGUCGUUCGUGUACAUGUGGAGGCUGUCGUCGCAGACAAGGUUGACUAUUUCUUUCUUCAGUUUUCGAUCUUGCAUGUCCUUGUCAAUCACGGAUCAAGUUCGGAUGUUGUCAUCAUAAGCCGCUCUAUCACCUUGUCCGUUACCACACGUUCGGUGAAUCUCUGUGCUCUCAGGUUUACUGAUUUCUCAGAAGCUCCUUUGAACUUUGCGGUCAUUGUUGUUUAGUGGCGAAGUUUAGAACAUAACCAUCUCUUAGUAGUCAGGUAGGCCACCGUAGGGUUUUAGUCGGUAAGAGUCCGACACUACCUCGCCGAUUCUCUCAGAACAGCGGUGGGGUAUCCAUGAGGAUUUCCCGACGUAAAAAAGAAAAGUAUUGUUAGUGUUCAUUUAUAUAAGUGUGCUAGUACUUAAUGCAUGUAUCAUUAAUCCUCAAUUGGUGAAAAUCAUAUUUAACCGCUAACAAUUUAACAUGUUGACCACUUAUUUGUAUACCAUAUUUUACACAAUAAAACAUCUUUAUCACGUAAAAUGCAGAAUAUAGAUAGAAAUAAAAUUCUCCAAAAUUAAACAAUUUUAUUCUAAUCUAUUCUGAUUCACUUCCAAUCCAAUUAUAUCAAUCGAGGAUUAAAUGUAGUAAGGUGGAUAAAUAGAAAAUAGAUGGGUAGAAAUAGCGUCUGAUAUUGAAUUACGCAGCUGUUUUAAGAUUUAAUUUAUUUUUACUUUCAGGAUUAGCUUUUCGCAUCGGUUUUCUUUAAAACUCUUUUCGUUGUUUGUUCCUCAUAACAAUUAAGGGAUUGGUCGUUUUACAAACGUACACUAGGAGGAGAAUUUUGUUUUUAUAAAUUGGUGUUUUAAAUGAAUAAAUUGUUGUGCGUAAAAGGAGGGUGGGUGGGAUCGUGUAAAGGGAGGGUCUCCACUCGCAGCAAUCUCCACGCCGGUGAAACUCGGGCAAUUAGUAUUAUUUCAUAUAUGAUUACUAAUCGCAUUACAGUACGUAAUACAAUUAUUAAUUAUGUAAGAAAUAAUACGAGCUGAUUGGCUCGCGAUUGUAGUUAGCUUUAUUAAAUUGUGAGGGUUGGUAUCAUCGGAGCGACCAAGUUCUUUCCGAUGAUCAGUUAUGAAACUCCACGUUCUAUGGAUAAGGUAGAAUAGGUAAAAUCUUGUCAAAACUUGUGUCACUGGAUUAUACGGAUCUUACGGAUUUGUGGUGACGACUGUGGCAACCGGGUGGUAACGUAACACUGCGACGUAUGGAUUAGGCGUAUGCCCUUGAAGUAUAUGUAUAGAAUGGAAUGUCCAAUCUUGCAAGAUGCUACACUAUUCACGAUAUUUUGAAUUAACUCCUACGAAUAUAGGCAUCCCGGGCGUUAUAUUGGAAACCGAUAUUCACGACCCUUACUCUUCGAGUACCAACGUCUAUCAAUUUGACCACUCGGAUAUUACAAAAGCAGAGGAAAUUUUCAACUAAGCAUGUUUUUAUGGUUAUCUAGCAUCGUACUUUCUUUUUCUCUUUUGUUAUAUAAUUGGUUUUGGUCACGAUUGUCAUGGACGAUGUAAAAGGGAGGAGAGGAGAUCGAUGGAAAGCAGAAUGGAUUAAGCACGGCGGUGGCAGAUUUGCUUCAUAGCAACACCACAUUUCAUCUAGUUUUCAUUGUAAGUGCACUUGUGCCAAGUGCAAAACCCGAAUCUCGUGCGUUCGUUUAUUACGGUUUGUUACUUCGAACUAUUUUGUCAUCGUGUGGCUUUUCAAUUAGCUUGAUCGUGUACGUUUCAUUAUACUAUAUUCGUAUAGUAGUUUCAAUUAAAACUCUGCGGUUCAAAUAACUGCAGCCAACAAAGUCAUAAAUACGUCUUUUCGUAGCAUCUUGUUGUUUAGAUGUAUCGCAACCGAAUUGAUAUUACGAUGCAAUUGAAGUAAAACAAAUGUAUUUUCACAUUUUCUUUCCGUACUAUAUCAAAGGUAAUUUUUCAUCUUCAAAGAAAUUGGUGAAAUGAAAAGAUCCAUUCGAGUAACUUGGAAAUCUGACAACGAAGAAAAUAACUGUACGCGAUUCAUUCACUUUACUUACGCUUUCAGUAUUUUUCAUAGUAGAAAAUAUGCUUCAACGUCACCGUUUUUUCGUUUCCGUUCUUCAAACUUCUAUGCUACGUAACCGAACGUACCAGCAGCUAAGCGUUAACUUAUCGUGUUUCUUUCUGUACGUGUAUUUAAAGUUAUUCUGGAAACUUUUUCUGUCUUUUCUUCUAUAAAGAAAACUAGAAAUGAAGUUUGGAAGCCAAAUAUGCUAUUAUGAGAAAACCCAGUAGAAAAUAGAAGAGAAAAAGGAAUCUUCUCUAUUGAGAGACCUACAUCUAUAUUGACCUUUUUGUAACUUUUUUUCGCACGAAAACAUGUGCAGAUCAAAAUGAAGAUCAGACGCAGUUUCUUGGUUUAUUCGAGUGAAAAUAUUGAUUAUCAUGAAAAUACUUGGUAGUUUUCCACUGUAUAAAACUUGGAAAGAAAAAAUACAGAAAAUUUCGUCUGUUUUAUUCCAGUUGUGAAUUUACACGUUCUAACCGAUACCUUUAAUUUAGCAAUAAGAUAUACAGGGUGGUUGGUAACUGGUGGUACAAGCGGAAAGGAGGGGGGGGGGGGAUUCUACGCGAAAAAAGAAGUCGAAAAUAUAGAAUAAAAAAAUUUUUUUUUUUUUUAAAUUUUUCCAUCGAGACAACGAUCUACAGUGAGAUCCGUUAUAACGAGACGCGAUAAAGUGCAGGCGUACCGAGCGAAAAUUCAAAGUCGAUUUUCUCGAAAACAAAGCCUCGAACGAAAAAUUUUUAUUCUAUAUUUUCGACUUCUUUUUUCGCGUAGAAUCACCCCCUUUUCGCUUGUACCACCAGUUACCAACCACCCUGUAUAUAAGAAGUUCAAGGUAACAUAGAACGAGAAAUAAAAGGAAUAUCAUUUCCUAGAAUUGAAAUAAAUUUCUUGUCAGUGCAGCGUAAUUUAAUAAAAUCUAACGGAGAGUUCCUAUACAUAUUCGUUCGAUAUAUUUUGGACAAGUUUGACAUAUUCGAAAUAUAUUAUUGCUCGGAGUUCAUUCAUAGUGCAAUUUGGUGAUGCGUAUUCAUUCUAUAUAUCUUGCGUAAUACUACCAAAUUACAUAAUAUGAGUACAUAUUCUCUGUUGAGUUUUGAUUAAUAUUAUACGGAAUCAGCUGCGGUUAUUGGCGUUCGCUCGGUAAAGUCACAAAUCGAUUAGAUGUUCGAAACGUGACUAACGGAUCGUUGGAAAUUUCAAAUUUUGUACACGUACCAAGCCAUAGUACUUACCUUUGCUUCACGAUGUUCGACAAUUUGGCGAUCGACGAAGAUAAUCGUUGCAAGGAUCGUUACAAUGAAACUCUAACCACGUUACGUACGAAUUUCUAUCGGCAGUCUCGAAGGAUUAAUAUUUUCAUUGGUGGUAAUUUCCCCAUUAAACAUUUUGCAAGUACUUACUUCGUAAUAUCCGAUUAAGUGUGUUCUCGACGGAAGAUACAUACAUCUUUGCUAUACGUUACCCUGGGUGCAACGAGGAUUAUUACAUUCCACGGCUUGGAUGCAAAAUUCCUGCAGAUAGAAUCACAGUGAUAAGGGGAAUUCGUGACGAUAUUAAAGCGAUUUAUGUUUGAAUUUACCUCCAUCGGUAAAGGUGCGUUUCUUUCGUAAAAUAAUCAUUUCUCGAUUGAAUCAAAAUGUCCAAUUUAUUUUGUAUGUUAUAAUAUCGUGGAGAUGAAAAUCUGACGUCUUGUUUUAUUUUGCGAGUCUACUUUUACAAUUCAUAUGUCUCUGGUAGGUCGACGAAAAAGAGUCUCAAACGUCCAUGUUAAAAUCAUCUACUAUCGUUAAACGAAUCAAGUAUAUGAACGUUAAUUAAUAAGUUUUCGUUCAUGGAAACGAUAUUAACGUGUUCCAUAACCCUAUGUAUAAAGAGCUAAUGGAAAACUUGAACGUUCCAACGAGAAGUCAUUGAUAAAUCAUUCUGCAUACAACAGCGAAUAAAAAUGUACAUGGCAUUGCUAUCCGAUAAAACACGCGUAAUGCUUCGUUCUCUGUAAAAAGAUAUGGCAAUAUUCUUGUAUUUUGCGAAAAAUGUUCUUGAUACACAGGUUCAUGUGUGUGCACAAUUUAGAGUAGAUAUUGUAGUUGGCAUACACGCGUAUGUACAUUGAUCACAUAUUAAUACAUCAAGUGAUUAUUUCGAAUGUUACCAGGAAAUAAUAACGAGUAUUAGACUAUGUCUAUAGGAUAGAUUUCUCUUUUUCCUUCGACGAAGCAUCCGACAAACGA